rnacentral:rRNA from 1 species
GAACGCUGGCGGCAGGCCUAACACAUGCAAGUCGAACGGUAACAGGAAGCAGCUUGCUGCUUCGCUGACGAGUGGCGGACGGGUGAGUAAUGUCUGGGAAGCUGCCUGAUGGAGGGGGAUAACUACUGGAAACGGUAGCUAAUACCGCAUAAUGUCGCAAGACCAAAGAGGGGGACCUUCGGGGCCUCUUGCCAUCGGAUGUGCCCAGAUGGGUUUAGCUUGUUGGUGGGGUAACGGCUCACCAAGGCGACGAUCCCUAGCUGGUCUGAGAGGAUGACCAGCCACACUGGAACUGAGACACGGUCCAGACUCCUACGGGAGGCAGCAGUGGGGAAUAUUGCACAAUGGGCGCAAGCCUGAUGCAGCCAUGCCCGCGUGUAUGAAGAAGGCCUUCGGGUUGUAAAGUACUUUCAGUGGGGAGGAAGGGAGUAAAGUUAAUACCUUUGCUCAUUGACGUUACCCGCAGAAGAAGCACCGGCUAACUCCGUG